GGUGUGUUAGCUGGUCAGCGGCAUCAUGUCGGAUUUCGCGGCGCACAAAGAGAGAACAAAGGGCGGAUGCUUGCGUGUCAUGUGCGCCGUCAUCCACGGUGUGUUGCUGCCUAUCCAGUGGACUGUCCGAAGCAGACUACGAAGCACCCGAAAGACCACCUGCGUAAUUACUGUGUUCGAGGGGAUGUGCGCGUUAUCGUGCAGAAGCGACAGUUGUCGGCCAUGGUCAACGGUCUUCCGAGGUUCGUGCCUGUUCGUGUCGGCCGCACUCUCAUGCGUCUGAAGCUGCUGCUCUUCUUCUUUUGUCGAGAAAUGCGCGCGCUGCUUCGAAUUUGCUUCGACUCAACGAAGUAGCCUGAAUUGACAAAAAAAGAGUGCGUAUUUAGAGUUGUGCUAUCGGCAACGUUCUGCAAUUUCGAGGUGCGCGCUGUCCUGUGGAUUAUACAGACACGGAGGAGGUCGAUUCCUUGCUCUAAGGAAUGCUGUGACAGCACCCACAAGGCCUUCGUCCUGGUCCAGUGGUUCUCGGAAGUCCACCAAGCCUACCUUAGAAAUGUACAAGUCACCCGAUUGCGGCCAACUCCCAUGCUCUGCCUACCUUUUGGAUUGCUGGUCUCAGGUGCUAGGCUUGCUG
rnacentral:lncRNA from 1 species